UACAGAGGUCCCAAGCGUUGUUCGGAUUCAUUGGGCGUAAAGGGUGCGUAGGUGGCGCGCUAAGUCAGGUGUGAAAUUUCGGAGCUUAACUCCGAAACUGCAUUUGAUACUGGCGUGCUUGAGGACUGGAGAGGAGACUGGAAUUUACGGUGUAGCAGUGAAAUGCGUAGAGAUCGUAAGGAAGACCAGUGGCGAAGGCGGGUCUCUGGACAGUUCCUGACACUGAAGCACGAAGGCCAGGGGAGCAAACGGG
rnacentral:rRNA from 1 species